rnacentral:lncRNA from 1 species
AGAUGCCGAGAUGACUGCUGGCAUUUGUCAACAAUCCUGUCAUAGUGACAGCAAUAAGACCAUGUCUGGAAAUGUGACAGUUUUGGCUUUGUGCUCCCCUGAGCAAUAGCCCAGGUGUUCAGAGAAAGUGUGGGAAAACCCAUAUUUCUGCAUUGUCAUUCGAACACAGAAAACACAGGAGGAAAAUGAGCUGUCACUCCAAUUCCCAUGAUGCCUUGCUGCUUAGCAUAACUCCACAGUGCGGCCCCAGGUCCACUGGUCCAUACUCUGACAGAUAAUUAAGAAAGCAGCAGCUUUUUCUAGACGGCUCUUCCUCAUGAUUUGCAUUUUAGCCAGAGGCGACCAGUUAUAAAAAAAACAUGAUGGAAAGAUGGUAAGAAGCCAAUUAGAUGGAUGGAUGGCUGACUGACAGCUCUCUGGUAAUACUACUCCAGAUUUCAGACUACAUAGCCUGGCAGUUUUCUACAAGAACCAACUUUUUUGCAGGCAUAAGAGAUGGAAGAAGAACUUGCCUGAAGUGCUUUUCAAAUAUUUGCCAUGGGGAUAAAUACCUUCCUCACAGAGUUGUUGUGAAGAAAGAACUUGGAUAACCAUAAAGAGCCAGAGAGAUAGUAUAAACUUUUGGAUAGUCUGAUGGAUUUUGGUAUGAGGAAAUAUGGGCUUAAAUUUCACUAAGGUAUUCAUUAGUUAUGUGACCUCAGAUAGUUCUUUUAACCUCUCUUGGCCCCCAAUUCCUCCUCUAUAAAAUGAGAGGGUAGGUCCUAUUUAACUGUGAUCCUUUUAUGUAAUGUGAGUUAUUACUAUAUUAAAGAAAAUAUCAUUGCAGAUACAUCCUGACCCCUUGUUAAAUGACAGUAUUUUUUUCCUGCGAAUACUUGUUCUAUCCAAUCAUCCCCUUUAUCGUCUACCUCAUUACAUCACCUUUCCCACUUCAGUGAGCCACUCACUGAAAUUUUAGCCAUGUUUAUUACUACUUGGUAAUUUCUACCUCCUUCCCUUUACUUAUACCAUUUCCUAAGCACUGCCUGCUUGCUCCAUGUCCUCCAUCUCUACUCAAACUUCUAUCUCCCCUGCAUAGGUUAUGCUAGAUUUUAGCCAUGAGUAAGAUCUGAUGGUGAGAUUUUGUCUUAUCAUUCCAUGCUUUACCCCAUGUACCCACAUCCUUCCUCAGUCAGAAAUUAUCCUCUCUUUCUUAAACAUUGUAUUGCAUUAUGUAUAGUUCCUAUUUAUUUAUUCUACUUUGUAUUAUUGGAAUUGGGAUCAUUUGUGUAUAUAUACACAUAUAUAAUAUCACUAGAUUAUAAGUUCAAUGAGGUAAGCUAACAUAUACCAUUUUUGAAAACCAUAAGGUGCCCCUAGUGUGUUCAAGUCUCACCUCUGACCCCUACUGGCUAGAUUACACUGGACAAGUCAUUUAGCCUUUCAGUGCCCCCAGGCAACUCUUGAAGGAUAUAACUUGGGGAACCAGUUGCUGAUCUACAUGGGUAGAAGAAAUUUCUUCACCAAGGAACUCCCUAUGCCUAUGCAAUUGUAGGUCCAGACCCUCCAAAAUCUCCACCAGCUACAGCCCAGUGCUCAAAACAUACUAGCUAAUCAAUAAAAGUUUACUGAAUUGAAUUGAAUUAUGUAAA